CAUUCAGGGAGGGCGGGAGAAUGGAGCGAGGAGAGAGGUGUCCUGAGCAGUGCCUGACUAGAAAGGCGAGCACAGCGGAAAACAAACGGCGUAACGGUGAAAAUUAACGGUUCACCGGGCGGUGUCCGGCAGCUGCACGUGUUAACACAGAUAGUUAAUGAGUCUAAUAAAGUUUCAGCAAGAGACGUUUGAAUUGAACGUUUGUUUCCCUCAGAGGGAGCGUGAACUCGUCCCCUUAGUGUGUGGGAUUUUAUACCCUCAGUGUUGCACUGAAGGAAAUAUAAACUCCCUAUAUCCGAUCAUAUCCUCCAGGAUGACAGAUAAAUCCAAAUAAAUCAUUUAGGUGAAUGGUGGGGAAGUUUUAGGAUCAGUAGAGAUGUGACGUUUGUUGGCCUCUCAGAGCAGAAAAGGUCCUGAGAGGUGAAACGAGAUCAGUGAUGGCUCACGUUUCCUCCCACAUACGUGUGGUUUUCAUCAUGUUAUCACUGAGUUCAGACACCAGAAACAGUACUCUCAGUACUAUCGUGCUGCAGAUCCAUCAGAGGUUCUGUGCUUUUAAACUUUUAACGUUAAGUGCUUUUAAAGUUUCUCAUCUCAAAGCUGAAGCUGACGUUCUCUAAUGUUUGAGGCUUCUCCUAAUUUGCAGUCAAUUUUUUUUUCGUUAUGACCAUUUGUCUUUUUGAUUGCGAUUAAUUUUUUAUUCUUUUAAGUUUUAUUUCCUUCUUCUCUUGAUUGCUGAAUGAAUCUGCCCUGCUUCAGGCUAGCAUGGGGAUAGGAGCAGAACAAUAACACCGCUGUUCUUUCACGGAUUAAUUUUGGAUGCACAGUUUAAUUUAUUAAGUAAAUGAAGUACAUCUUUAAUGCUGGAUCUCAGUUUUUCUUCACUAUAAAGUAAAGCUGGUGUAAUCACAGGAGCAGUCUGUGAUUUGAUUAUUUGUCUGUAACUCUGUGUGUUACAGAUCACAAGCAAUGUCUUUAUUGGUCAGAAAAUUGAAACCUGAUAAAAAUAAAUUGAAAAUUUCAGAUCCAUGCCCCCGUUUCCGGUCGUGUUAUCUAAACCGACCCAGUGGGCCAUAUUGGCCUGUUUGGCCGGUCAGUUCUGGCCCAUGUGCCAUAUGUUUGACACCACUGCCUUUGUAAGGCGAACCAUCAUGGAGGCCACGCCCCCUGCGGCUUCAUAUUUGCAGAAAGUGAAGCCGCCUGCACGUGACUGAGUUUACAUUCAUCUGUUUUUAUCCAGAUUAAGAGAGAGCAACAGACCCACUCAUCCACUCAUAAACAUUUCACAGCACUUUUGUGUUUCCAUGUCUACUUCUGCCCACUGACGCAGUGACAGACUCCAUAAUGAAGGAGGUCGAGAUUCUAAAAUGUACCAGGAGGACCAAAGAGAGGAGGUACAGAAGAAAGGCAGUCACU